AGAACUUAGCAGAGAUGCUUUUGGUGCCUUUCGGGAACUCUGAGACAGGUGCUGCAUGGCUGUCGUCAGCUCGUGUUGUGAAAUGUUGGGUUAAGUCCCGCAACGAGCGCAACCCUUAUCCUUUGUUGCCAGCGGUUAGGCCGGGAACUCAAAGGAGACUGCCAGUGAUAAACUGGAGGAAGGUGGGGAUGACGUCAAGUCAUCAUGGCCCUUACGAGUAGGGCUACACACGUGCUACAAUGGCGCAUACAAAGAGAAGCGACCUCGCGAGAGCAAGCGGACCUCAUAAAGUGCGUCGUAGUCCGGAUUGGAGUCUGCAACUCGACUCCAUGAAGUCGGAAUCGCUAGUAAUCGUGGAUCAGAAUGCCACGGUGAAUACGUUCCCGGGCCUUGUACACACCGCCCGUCACACCAUGGGAGUGGGUUGCAAAAGAAGUAGGUAGCUUAACCUUCGGGAGGGCGCUUACCACUUUGUGAUUCAUGACUGGGGUGAAGUCGUAACAAGGUAGGCGUAGUGCU
rnacentral:rRNA from 1 species